AGAAAUUAGUUCCUGUUAUAAAAAUGGCUUCCAGUAUUAUUCCGAACAUACGCAGAAAGAUGGUUUCUUUCACUCCCGUGUAAAUUCUCUUCCGGCAGCUCUGUUCUCAUAAGCCGCUUGAGAGCAGCCCUCCGUAGUCAUAUGCGUGAUCAAGCGAUGUCAGAGAGCGGAGAAGAGGCAUGGAAUCGGAAGAUUGUUCCUCGUGUUGUAGAGAUCGCGAGCUCCCGUCUCUCUCAGAGAGACCUCUGCUCUGUGCUUCUCCUCAGCACUUGUUGCUAUCGCGCCCUUAUCUCUCAACCAUCUCUUUGGAAGGUACUUGAUCUUCAUGAAAUGAAUAAAGCAGGAGAGAGAUUAGUAUCCGCCCUUUCAUUGGAUAGGUAUAAACAUGUUGAGAGGAUAAACCUUGAAUUUGCAAGUGACGUUCAUGAUGAGCAUCUAUUCCUUUUAAAAAAUAAGGUAACGGAGCAUCUUCAACACCUAGAAUAUCUGAAUCUCAAUGGCUGUCAGAAAAUUUCUGAUAAUGGAAUUGAAGCUGUAACAAUUGCUUGCCCUAAACUUAGGGUAUUUUCUAUCUUCUGGAAUGUUAGGGUGACGGAUGUGAGCAUAAAACACCUCGUGAAGCAUUGCAAACAUAUGUCUCGUCUAAACCUCAGCGGAUGCAAGGGUAUCUCGGACCAAAGUUUGCAUCUCAUAGGUGAUAACUACAAAGAAUUAGAGGAAUUGAAUAUUACGAGGUGCAUCAAAAUCACUGAUAAUGGAUUACAAAAUGCUCUCAAGUGUAGUACCCUAAAAAGCUUAAACUUGUAUGCCCUCUCAAGUCUCACUGAUAGAGCUUAUGAGAAGAUUGGUUGCUUAGCAGAUCUGGAAUUCUUGGACUUGUGUGGUGCUCAGAAUCUAUCUGAUAAUGGCCUUUCUAGCAUUGCCAGCUGCAGAAAAUUACUUUCUUUGAAUUUGACGUGGUGCAUACGGGUUACCGAUGUAGGCGUGAUGAAAAUUUCCAAAGGGUGCAGAUCUCUUGAAUUUCUCAGCUUAUUUGGUAUUGUUGGACUUACUGAUAGAUGUCUGGAGGUUCUUUCUAAGCACUGCUCGAAUACUAUAACAACCCUUGAUGUGAACGGAUGCACUGGAAUUAAGAGGAGGAGUCAUGAAGACCUUCGCAAGCUUUUUCCACAUAUAAGGUGCUUCAGAGUACACAGCUAGUGGGGAGAACAGGCUGUUCUGAGAGGUUGGAAGCUUUCUAUCCAUCCAGUUUCUUCUGGUCGCCAGAUUGGCCUAGUCAGCAGUCAGCAGUCAGCAGUCAGCAUUAGGAGAAGAUGCAGCGUCUCAAUGCCUAUGCUUCACAGCUAAGUUCCUGGAUGUUUAAUAUUUUUUAUUUGUUGGAAUAUUUAGUGUGGAAAAAUAAAAUUUUUUAUGCGGUUGAGAUUCAAUCCUAGAAUCUCAAUAAUACUAUCCAAGGUUUUUAUUGACUGAGCUAACUACCAUUUGCUUUUUGAUCUAAAUUUAAUUCAAUUAAAAUUUUGUUAAUUUAUAUAAAAGCUUCGAGUCAAAGUCUAA